rnacentral:rRNA from 1 species
UUGAACGCUGGCGGCAUGCCUUACACAUGCAAGUCGAACGGUAGAGGGGCAACCCUUGAGAGUGGCGAACGGGUGAGUAAUAUAUCGGAACGUGCCCAGUCGUGGGGGAUAACGCAGCGAAAGCUGCGCUAAUACCGCAUACGAUCUAUGGAUGAAAGCGGGGGAUCGCAAGACCUCGCGCGAUUGGAGCGGCCGAUAUCAGAUUAGGUAGUUGGUGGGGUAA